rnacentral:tRNA from 1 species
GGCUCCAUGGCUUAGUUGGUUAAAGCGCCUGUCUUGUAAACAGGAGAUCCUGGGUUCGAGUCCCAGUGGGGCCU